UACGGAGGGUGCAAGCGUUAUCCGGAAUUAUUGGGCGUAAAGAGCUCGUAGGCGGUUUGUCGCGUCUGCUGUGAAAACUGGAGGCUCAACCUCCAGCCUGCAGUGGGUACGGGCAGACUAGAGUGCGGUAGGGGAGAUUGGAAUUCCUGGUGUAGCGGUGGAAUGCGCAGAUAUCAGGAGGAACACCGGUGGCGAAGGCGGGUCUCUGGGCAGUAACUGACGCUGAGGAGCGAAAGCGUGGGGAGCGAACAGG
rnacentral:rRNA from 1 species